rnacentral:misc_RNA from 1 species
CCGAGUUCGGGUACGCCACAAUCGUGCCCAACCUCCAACCCUGUGUCUACCACACCUUGUGUUGCUUCGGCGGGCCCGUCUGGGUUUACCCUAGACCGCCGGAGGGGAGUAAAACACCCUCUGGUCCGCGCCCGCCGAUAGCCAAACCACACAAACUCUUGAAUUAAACCUUGUCUGAACUGGUUAAACAUAAAUAACUAA